UUGGAGUAUUAAUUUCCACAGAUAGAAACUGUCUAUGUCAUUUACUUCUAUCAGACACUAAGAUUAAGAGAGACAGACUGACCUUUCGGAGUUCAGCUGAUAGGCCCAUUUCAGCAGCAACAUUCAUACGUGUCUUGUCUUUUGGCUGCCUCCUCUUCCCCAUCUGCUGCCAUGGCUGCCUGCCUGCUCCCAGCUGGCUAGGUCUCAUUUGCUGCACUAUGCUGCCAGGUCCAGAGCAGGCUGGGCAGAUCACGCUGCCUGUUCUGCAGAGUAGCAUAGGCUGAAAUUCAGCCUUCACGUGCAUCCUCAAACACCGUUACACCUGCCUGGUGUUUGCAGGCCAGAAGUGCACUAUGGAAGCCCAGGAAGAACUCAAAGCGCAGUUGGUUACACGGUGCCACAGUGUCAAGGAAAGAGCUACAUGACAUAGAACAGACUGCAGACCCCAGGCCUAGGGACAACAUGCUUCCAGGUAGGCCAUGGGCAACCCUCACCAGAGUCAGAUGUGUUUCUCUGUAGCACUGUGCUGUGUGGUAAGGAAUUGGGCCUGUGCAAAAAGCGUUGUUGGAUGCAUCCUGUCUCUGUGAACAGUGUACCAUGAUGAUGUAUGUACACGUCUUUACACAGUGAGGAAAAUUUCAGAACACUCCACAUUAUCUUAUUUAUUUCAAUUUAAUUUGUGAGACAAUGUCAGCAUGUUACCUUGGAAGCUUCAAUAUAAGCCCAUUCAUCAAAAGCACUUUCUUCAGUCUUAGCCAGCUGCAAAACCAUUCGAGGUUAUCUUGCCAGAGAAGGAGCCUUCAUAUCCUGCUCCCCUUUAAAAGCACCUUUGCUCUUUACAUACCGGAAGGUAAAUACACUGUAAAAAUGCCAAGGCCUACCACAGUUCAGAUAUUUGAGAGUCUUGUGAAGAAAAGGCACAAAGAGAACCUGAAUAGAUGCUCCCCGUGAACUUUUCAAAGAAUGCAAGAACAUAAUUCUUGCCUCUCCUAGGUGAGCAAGUCAUCAGCUUACUCCUAAUUCAUUUCUAUCUUAACAAGCUUACAGAGCAAACCACUACAGAGAAGAGCAUGAUUUAAAAAGAGAUCAGCAGCAACUUCAUUCCCCAGCUGUGCUGAGAAACUUCUCAGGAGACAAGAUCUAUGCAUGGCCUUCCUUAUGGUGCAGUGCAGCAUUUAAUUUCAGGGGAAAAAAAAAAGUGACAGCAACAGUAUCAUUAAAAGUUCCUUUCAUAUCUUUUACUUUGCAAAGCCAAGGAUGAAUAAGUUUAAAUAACAUUUCUAAGAAUAAAGCAAAUAUCUAAUCAGGCUCCA
rnacentral:lncRNA from 1 species